AUGGCGGUACAGUACAAGUUCCGCAGCUCCGUGGCCUUCGAUUCCGUCGACCUCAGCGGCCGCUCGUCGAUCUCUGUCCGCGACCUCCGAGCCAGAAUAUCUGACAUCAAGAAACUCAAAAUCUGUGCUGACUUCGAUCUCGUUCUGUCCGACGCCGAUACUGGCAAAGUAUUUGAGAAUGAGGACUUCCAGAUUCCGGUGGGUGCUAGCGUAGUCAUCAAGCGAGUGCCAACGGGAAGAGAGGCGACUAAUGAUCGGGAUGCGAUUGCUGGCACUGCAGGAAAAUCGGGAGGAUGUGUUGGUACGCUGCAAUUAUCGACUUCUGAGAACUUUGGUGUUGACAACUUUGAUGACUUUGGUUUUGAUUUAUAUCCCAAUUUGGAUACAACAAUUCAUUGUUAUGCUGAUGAUAUGGACCACUUCAAUUCCUCUGCUAAUAAAAAGAAGGAUGUUUCCGUCAGGUCUUUUGAAGUACCCAACCUUAAGGGUCAAAAGAUUGACAGAAGCGAUGUUAGUGAGGACUUGUCCAACAAAGUUGGCGAAAAUUUCAGGGAAGAGUCUGAUGAAGGAGAGAACCAGAAGGAAAUGAACUCAAAGAACAACGUUGAGCUUAAGAAGAAACUUUCUGAGGAUAUGCACUUUCAGGUGACAUUUAAUACAGAUUUGCCAGCGGAGCUUAGGUGCUCACUUUGCAAUUCUAUAUUUAAAGAGGCCGUAAUGAUACCCUGCUGCCAACAUAGUUUUUGUAACAGAUGUAUUGCAUCAACAUUAGUUAAGCAAUCAAGUUGCCCCAAAUGUUCUUCCACAAAAUGCACCGUCAAGGACCUAUUGCCAAACUUGUCACUUCGCCAAGCAAUCGAACAUUUUCUUGAAGCACAGAACGCCAGUAUUGUUUCAUAUAACAAUCUUCCAAUGUAUGCUCCAGAUGGAGAAUCCGGAAUUCAAACUAAAGAGGUAUCAUGUGCUGUAUCUGUACGACCACAACUACCAACUUGCCAACCUUCCCCUUCUGCAACAGGGAUGGGGUCCAAUCAUGUUGUUUCAGAACCUGCAUCUGAAUGUAAUUUUCCUUUCAAAAGGAAUGAGGAACUGUGUACUGAAACACGAGGUGGGAGAGUUGCAAUUCCGUCAAUCAAGCAUAGAAAGUAUGAGCGUAACUGUUAUAUGUGUGGGGCCCCAGAUCACUUGAUUAGAGAGUGUCCUCAUGCCAAGACAGGAAAUGCUGUGGCCUCUGGAGGCAUUCCACCCUACCAAGAAGGCUAUUGGCGUGGGGCCUCUUUCACAAAUGUUCGGCCUUAUGCGAAUAUAUAUGGUGCCCCUCCUAUGAUGCCAUUUGAUCCAAUGAUGUUUCAGGCCCCAGCUUUUGGCAUUUCAUCGUGCAUGCCACCAAUGUAUGGUAGCCUGCCAGCACCCUAUGGAUUCAUGACAAUGGGAGCUGUCCCUCAUCUCAUGAUGCCUGGGGUAGAACCUAUAACUCAUGCUGCUGAAACUAUGAAUAAAAAAAAUGGUGUCAGGAAACGCAAUUAUGAACUUCAAGAGAGAUAUCAUGGUUCAGAUUUAUCUGAAGGUUGCUACUCUGGUGGAACUGAAAGAUCACAUGCCCAGCUAAUUCAAUCUGAUAAACGUAGCAGCUCUGACGAUGAUGAGCAAAGGGCACACGGAAAGCACUCACAACAAAAGCAUAAUAGUCCUCGUCGGAGGCCAAGUUAUGAAGGUGAUAAGCUUCAUUUGGUCAAUGAGAAGCAUAAGGAGCCUCAUCUUUUCGCUUGUGGAAUGGACCAGAGAAGUUAUUUUUCUGAAAAAUCAAAAUCUGAUUUACAAGAUGUAUCUAAUGACUCUAGAAGGCAUAACGGAGAGAGAAGAAGCCACCAGCAUAAAUGUUCUAAGCACAGUGGGAGUGAUUGCAGCUGGAAAAAGCAUCAUAGCAGCCGGUUGCAUGAAGAUGAUGAGUUUGUAACACAUCUUAAAAGCCAUCGCUGCGAACAAUAUAAUCAAUCAGAAUCUUGCUUGGAACCUGAAUCCUCCACUGACCAUCGAAAACUCCACAAAGAACGAGAGUCUAGUCACAGGUUCAGGCACUCUAGUAGAAUAAUCAAGUCUAGAGAUGAGCGGCUUGAUAAUGACAGAAGGGAGAUGGGUAAAGUCUGGAAGAAAAGAGAGAGAGAUCAUGGCUACAAGGAAAGUAGAGAUCAUGGCUACAAGGAAAGUAGGAGAAUCCGUUGAAAAUUCUUAAUAUUUAUUAGUUUUUUGGUUAGUGGAUGUGGAUAUAUUCCAGGAGUCAUACAAUGCUGCAGCCAUAGGAAUUAUGUCAUCAGAGAGUUCUAGCGUUCUUUCCCUUGAUAGUUUUGAAGUCUUGGGAGGUUCAUAAGAGCACACACUUACGUGGAGCUUAGAAGAUAUUGACAUGAUAUUGUCAAAUGUCGUUCUUGGUGUGGCGGAAUCCAUAUGUUUGCUUAGGUUCCAAUGUGUUUAUUUAUUUGCAGGUCAGCGGCAGGCAAGCAACUUCAUGACCAAAUGGUCGCUGUAUAUGCAGCUGAAAUUUAUCACAGUUUCAUAGGCUUCAUAACUAAGAGAAAUAAUUCAGUUGCUGAGAAAGAGUGGAUCAGGAUUUUCUGACCAAAAUUUGGUCAGGCCAGGGAACUGCUGCUCCAAAAUCCUUCGCUAUAAUUUUGGUGGUUUGGACUAUAAAUUUUCGAACAUGGCAUUCCAAUAUUCCAUGCAGUUGCCGCUAUUGUAACAUCAUUCAGGGCAUCUCCAAUCGACUCCAAAUGUUUGAAUGACGCU